GGAGGUAUCAGAAGUGCGAAUGCUGACAUGAGUAACGAUAAGGGGGGUGAAAAACCUCCCCGCCGGAAGAUCAAGGUUUCCUGUCCAACGCUAAUCGGGACAGGGUGAGUCGGCCCCUAAGGCGAGGCAGAGAUGCGUAGUCGAUGGGAAGCAGGUUAAUAUUCCUGCACUUCUUUAUAUUGCGAUGGGGGGACGGAGAAGGCUAGGCCAGCGCGGCGAUGGUUGUCCGCGUUUAAGGUUGUAGGCUGGUGACUUAGGUAAAUCCGGGUUGCUAAGGCCGAGAACUGAUGACGAGCUUCGAGCGAAAGCGACAAGUGAAGUGGUCGAUGCCAUGCUUCCAGGAAAAGCCUCUAAGCUUCAGAUAUAAAGGAACCGUACUGUAAACCGACACAGGUGAACAAAUUUAGUAAAUUAAGGUGCUUGAGUUAAUUGUAUUGAAGGAACUCGGCAAAAUGACUCCGUAACUUCGGAAUAAGGAGUAGCUUUUUAAGGUUUUAACCUAAAAAAGCUGUCACAAAAUCGAGGACAGCGACUGUUUAAUAAAAACACAGGUCUCUGCAAAUUUGAAAAAAGAAGUAUAGAGACUGACGCCUGCCCGGUGCUGCAAGCUUAAUAGAAAAAGUUUUGGCUUUAACUUUAACCCCCAGUAAACGGCGGCUGUAACUCUGACGGUCCAAAGGUAGCGAAAUUCCUUGGCAUUUAAUUGGUGUCCUGCAUGAAUGGCGUAACGACUGUCCUACUGUCUCCAAUGCAAUCUCAGUGAAAUUGAAAUGUCUGUGAAGAUGCAGACUACUCGCGGCUAGACGGAAAGACCCUGUGCACCUUUACUAUAGUUAUAAAUUGUAAUAAAAUUUUUUCUGUGUAGUAUACGUGGUAAGUUUUUAUCAAAUCGUAACGCAAGUUAUUUGUUUAAACACAAAUGAAAUACCACUCUUAAAAACUUUUGUUACUCAUAAUCUCAAAACAGUUUAUAAUGGGUAGUUUGACUGGGGCGGUCGCCUCCUAAAAAGUAACGGAGGCGUACGAAGGUAAGCUCAAAUUGAAAAAAACCAAUUUAAGAGCAUAAUAGUAAAUUGUUUGCUUGACUGAGAGAUUGACAAAUCGAACAGAGAUGAAAGUCGGUUAUAGUGAUCCGAUGACUCUGAGUGGAAAAGGUCAUCGCUCAACGGAUAAAAGGUACGCCAGGGAUAACAGGCUAAUCAUUCUUUAGAGACCCUAUCGAUGGAGUGGUUUGGCACCUCGAUGUUGGAUUAUCGCAUCCUGGAGCUGUAAGUGGUUCCAAGGGUUUGGCUGUUCGCCAAGAAAGGCGGUACAUGAUCUGAGUUUAGAACGUUGUAAAACAGUUUGGUCCCUAUCUACCGUGAGUGUUAAAAAUUGAAAGGAGUAAACCCUAGUACGAGAGGACCGGGAAAAGUGAAUCUCUGGUGAAUCGGUUGUUAUUUUAAUAGCAUCGUCGAGUAGCUAUAUUUAUGAUAGAUAAUUGCUGAAAGCAUCUAAACAAGAAACUAACCUUGAAAAAAAUUUUUAAAAAGUCGUAAAAGAUUAUUACGUAAUAGACUUAAUGUAUAAGAGUUGUAAAAUUUUUAGCAAAUAAGCACUAAAAUU
rnacentral:rRNA from 1 species